GCCCGGGGGGCUCAGUCGGCUGAGCGUCUGACUUCAGCUCAGGUCAUGAUCUUGCAGUUCGUGGGUUCAAGCCCUGCGUCGGGCU
rnacentral:tRNA from 1 species